UACGUAGGGGGCUAGCGUUGUCCGGAUUUAUUGGGCGUAAAGAGCGUGUAGGCGGCCAGGUAGGUCUGCUGUGAAAACUCGAGGCUCAACCUCGAGACGUCGGCGGAAACCAUCUGGCUAGAGUCCGGAAGAGGCGAGUGGAAUUCCUGGUGUAGCGGUGGAAUGCGCAGAUAUCAGGAGGAACACCUAUAGCGAAGGCAGCUCGCUGGGACGUUACUGACGCUGAGGCGCGAAAGCGUGGGGAGCGAACAGG
rnacentral:rRNA from 1 species